CAGUCUCUCAGGUUCUAGCACGGCCCUGCGGAAUGGCUAGAACUUUUAAAGCGCUACGGCAACGUAGCAAUUUUUUGU
rnacentral:ncRNA from 1 species